CUUGUCUUCCUGCUCCGGGCCAGACAGCUCCCCUGUGAAACCAGGGGAAAACUGAGGCACAAGGGUGCUGCCCAGAGGCAAACCACACCGUGGGAGCUUAGCUGCAGGCACUAGGAAGUGUGAAAGCGUUUCCCUCUGGUGUUUCAUCUAUUACACAUCCCUGCUGGCAGCUGUUAUAGUUGGAAAGAGGAUGUUGUUGAUGUGGGAAUCUUAGGAUCCAGAUUUUCGCCAAUCUGAAGGGAGCUGCAUUAAACAAAGACAUGGUGCUGCUGGACACCUGCUGAUCUGCAGAAGGCUUUGCAAAGCAUCCUGCUCAUUCACCUGCUACUCCUUCCAUUCUUACCCAAAGCUGGGGCUUAGCUCCUUGCUUUUUCCUGCAGGUUGCCCACAUGGCAACAGAGUAUAUAGGAAGUGUUACAAAACUGUGUCGCCUCUGGAGUUGUCAUCAUGUCACUUUAAAUGGCACUGACCCAUACUCCUUUGCUGGCCAUUUGAAACCCAAGGAGAGUGACACAUUGGUUCAGUUAGAAUUUGGCAUUUAUUGACACCAAUUCGUCAAUGAAGGCAAAUUUAAAUGGUCAUAAAUGGUCUAGAACUGUCAACAGGACAGGGAACCUGCCCCAGGAAUAGGUGCCAAGCACUUGGAAAUCUAGCUGGGCCUGCUUUGGACAAAUCUGGUUCUCUAGCUCUCAAACACUGCGGUUUAUUGCAGCUGCUGUUAGCCCCUCAUUACUGAUAACAGCUGCUUUGACUACAAAUUGCUUCACUCCGCAACUAGCAUCUGUUUCAGUGUUAAGUACGGCAAACCUGAAUGUGCAAGCAGGAUUUACAUAUUUGGCUUCUCUCCUACAAAAUACUGAACUGGCUUCACAAGACAGAAAGGGCUGAAAUCAGGGAUGCUGGAACACUUGUACAGUGGGGGUGCAAAGAGCCAUUGAACCAGAGUGUAAACUUUAUUUAUCCUCACCCCUAGUUCCAGCACUUAUGGCCAAAACCUUAGACAGUUCAACUGUAAUAGUUUGGAAAAGUCUGAAACCCUUUAAAUCUUAAACCCUUUGGAGGAAGGGGAAAACCAAGCUGAUUACAAAUUAUUAGUCUCUCAGUAUUGUGGGCUUUUCCUCUUUAUAUUCACAAAACGGGGUAAGACUGAGACUAGUGUUCACUUAGAAGCAUUUCAGGGUAUUUGCACCUUCGGGUGAAGCAUCUGGUACUGGCCACUGUCGGAACCAGGCUACCAUUCCAUGUGGUGUGUUGCUCAGGGCCAGUGUUCCAGCACUCAGUGGAUGCUGCAAACACUUUUUCAAAAGGGGCUUGUCCCAUUUGUGUGAACACUCUGCCUGUACAGCAUUCCCAGCAGGAUCGGCACCUUCCUGAACAUUACAGAUGCUUGUUCAAUACCUGUUUACUGACAGGCCGGAAUGAUACCACAGACAUCCCCAUGGUCCCUUGGGGAAACAGACCAUUUAGAACUGUAUGACAAUAUAGUUCAUGGGACACCACACUAUACGCAGCCAAAGACCUGCCUAGAUAUAUGUUAUCCUGUAGACCAGAAUGACUCCUUAGUGCAAAACUACUCAGGGCUUCUCACACCCAGAAUGGGGAACUUUAAUGGAUCUGAGGUGGCCAGUGAUAUCCUUGUAGGUUAUGGGAGAAAUAUGUAAAAGCUUCAAAGAUUCAUUACAAAACGUGCUUUUAGGGUCAAAUCUCAUUGAUGUGCCAAAGUCACUACGGGCUCUCAGUCACUGAGGCAGUCGUGACAUUUUUAGCUGUUUUUAUUAGAAUGGGUUAGUUUUUUUCAUUAAAACAUGGCUUCCUACUUUUUAGCACCCCCCUUGGGUUUUUUUCCAACCCAACAACUGUUAUUUAGUUUUCCCAUAUGCAUUCAUCAUUUGCUAUGUUCCACACCAGAAGUGGCUGCAUUUCAGUGGUGCUGGGACUGUGCCUUUUUAUGAUAGUGUAGUGCCUGGCACAGUGAAGCCCUAGGUCUUGACUGGGACCUCUAGAUCAUAGUCCUCUCCCAUGGAAAUAUUAAAUAUUAACACUGCAGUGAUUCUGCCCAAUCUAUUGUACAGUGCUUAGACUAACAGGCACUAUUAUAAACAUAAGCCACCGCAUGAUUACCAUGGCAAGGUCCUUUGGGCAUUUUAAACAAGUCUCCUUUAAUGCAGCUAUUCUGCCAUGCCCAUUUCCGCAGUGUCAGCUCUGUCUAAAGCUCUUGGCGCCCUUACAGUGCUGCAAAGCCUUUGUAAACACCCUUUGUGGUUUUUGCUGUGGGCUAAGCAAGAGAAGAACUUUCUCCCAUUUUGCCAAAAGAGGAACCUGAAUGCAUUCGACCUGCAUGACUAACACUAACGCCACACUGACUACAGAUUAUGAGCACACUACUCACCCUGUCCAG